rnacentral:rRNA from 1 species
CCCUACGGGGGGCAGCAGUAGGGAAUCUUCCACAAUGGGCGAAAGCCUGAUGGAGCAACGCCGCGUGGGUGAAGAAGGUCUUAGAAUCGUCCAACCCUGUUGUUAGAACAGACAGUGCGUGAGAGUAACUGUUCACGUUUCGACGGUAUCUAACCAGAAAGCCACGGCUAACUACGUGCCAGCAGCCGCGGUACUACGUAGGUGGCAACAGUUAUCCGGACUUAUUGGGCGUAAAGGGAACGCAGGCGGUCUUUUAAGUCUGAUGUGAAAGCCUUCGGCUUAACCGGAGUAGUGCAUUGGAAACU